UGGGGAAUUUUGCACAAUGGGGGCAACCCUGAUGCAGCGACGCCGCGUGAUUUAGAAGGCCUUCGGGUUGUAAAAAUCUUUUGUAUGGGAAGAAAAUGACAGUACCAUACGAAUAAGGACCGGCUAAUUACGUGCCAGCAGCCGCGGUAAUACGUAAGGUCCGAGCGUUGUCCGGAAUCAUUGGGCGUAAAGGGUACGUAGGCGGAUAAGCAAGUUAGAAGUGAAAUCCUAUAGCUCAACUAUAGUAAGCUUUUAAAACUGCUCAUCUUGAGGUAUGGAAGGGAAAGUGGAAUUCCUAGUGUAGCGGUGAAAUGCGCGGAUAUUAGGAGGAAUACCGGUGGCGAAGGCGACUUUCUGGCCAUAAACUGACGCUGAGGUACGAAAGCGUGGGUAGCAAACAGG
rnacentral:rRNA from 1 species